CUAUGAUUACAUUGACAGAGGGCCACUUAUGCAACAUGAGGUUGAUUUACACAAAAAAAUUCUGCUUCGAAGCAAAGUUGAACCACAUAGGAGUAAGUGGGUUGUGAUCAUUGAUAGAACAAUGGUAUCACUAGGACAGCUAGGCGACUCUUUUGAUGCAAAUGGUCAUGUAGAAGCCUACGUUAUCAAUGUCUUCUGCCGCAUACUAUUCAGAAAUAACCACCCAAGACAGUCAAAGAAGCAUUACUUCUUCAGCACAGUCUCUGAGUACUUUCUUGAGAAGUGGGGAAACGAGGGAGCAAGGUUGGCUAUGAGGAAUAGAGCACUUAUUACCUUUGAUGGAGCAGG